UACGAAGGGGGGCUAGCGUUGCUCGGAAUCACUGGGCGUAAAGGGUGCGUAGGCGGGUCUUUAAGUCAGAGGUGAAAUCCCAAGGCUCAACCUUGGAACUGCCUUUGAUACUGGGGAUCUUGAGUCCGGGAGAGGUGAGUGGAACUGCGAGUGUAGAGGUGAAAUUCGUAGAUAUUCGCAAGAACACCAGUGGCGAAGGCGGCUCACUGGCCCGAUACUGACGCUGAGGCACGAAAGCGUGGGGAGCAAACAGG
rnacentral:rRNA from 1 species